rnacentral:rRNA from 1 species
UACGUAGGGGGCGAGCGUUGUCCGAAGUUACUGGGCGUAAAGCGCGCGUAGGCGGUUUCUUAAGUCUGGUGUGAAAGGUUCAGGGCUCAACCCGAACAGUGCACUGGAUACUGGGAGACUUGAGUAUGGGAGAGGAGAGCGGAAUUCCUGGUGUAGCGGUGAAAAUGCGUAGAUAUCAGGAGGAACACCGAUGGCGAAGGCAGCUCUCUGGCCUGUAACUGACGCUGAGGUGCGAAAGCGUGGGGAGCGAACAGG